rnacentral:rRNA from 1 species
AUUGAACGCUGGCGGCAUGCCUUACACAUGCAAGUCGAACGGCAGCACGGACUUCGGUCUGGUGGCGAGUGGCGAACGGGUGAGUAAUAUAUCGGAACAUACCUUGUAGUGGGGGAUAACUAUCCGAAAGGAUAGCUAAUACCGCAUACGCUCUAAGGAGGAAAGCGGGGGAUCGUAAGACCUCGUGCUAUAAGAGUGGCCGAUAUCUGAUUAGCUAGUUGGUGAGGUAAAGGCUCACCAAGGCGACGAUCAGUAGCUGGUCUGAGAGGACGAACAGCCACUCUGGAACUGAGACACGGUCCAGACUCCUACGGGAGGCAGCAGUGGGGAAUUUUGGACAAUGGGGGCAACCCUGAUCCAGCAAUGCCGCGUGAGUGAAGAAGGCCUUCGGGUUGUAAAGCUCUUUUGUCAGGGAAGAAACGGUUGUGGCUAAUAUCCAUGGCUAAUGACGGUACCUGAAGAAUAAGCACCGGCUAACUACGUGCCAGCCGCCGCGGUAACAC